rnacentral:rRNA from 1 species
CAGGCUUAACACAUGCAAGUCGAGGGGCAGCAUGAUCUUAGCUUGCUAAGGCCGAUGGCGACCGGCGCACGGGUGAGUAACGCGUAUCCAACCUGCCUUACACUCUUGGACAGCCUUCUGAAAGGGAGAUUAAUACAAGAUGUUAUCAUGAGUAAGCAUUUUCGCAUGAUUAAAGGUUUACCGGUGUAAGAUGGGGAUGCGUUCCAUUAGAUAGUAGGCGGGGUAACGGCCCACCUAGUCUUCGAUGGAUAGGGGUUCUGAGAGGAAGGUCCCCCACAUUGGAACUGAGACACGGUCCAAACUCCUACGGGAGGCAGCAGUGAGGAAUAUUGGUCAAUGGACGAGAGUCUGAACCAGCCAAGUAGCGUGAAGGAUGAAGGUUCUAUGGAUUGUAAACUUCUUUUAUACGGGAAUAAACGGAUCCACGUGUGGAUUUUUGCAUGUACCGUAUGAAUAAGGAUCGGCUAACUCCGUGCCAGCAGCCGCGGUAAUACGGAGGAUCCGAGCGUUAUCCGGAUUUAUUGGGUUUAAAGGGAGCGUAGAUGGGUUGUUAAGUCAGUUGUGAAAGUUUGCGGCUCAACCGCAAAAUUGCAAUUGAUACUGGCAGUCUUGAGUACAGUUGAGGUAGGCGGAAUUCGUGGUGUAGCGGUGAAAUGCUUAGAUAUCACGAAGAACUCCGAUUGCGAAGGCAGCUUACUAACCUGUAACUGACAUUGAUGCUCGAAAGUGUGGGUAUCAAACAGGAUUAGAUACCCUGGUAGUCCACACGGUAAACGAUGAAUACUCGCUGUAGGCGAUAUACAGUCUGCGGCCAAGCGAAAGCAUUAAGUAUUCCACCUGGGGAGUACGCCGGCAACGGUGAAACUCAAAGGAAUUGACGGGGGCCCGCACAAGCGGAGGAACAUGUGGUUUAAUUCGAUGAUACGCGAGGAACCUUACCCGGGCUUAAAUUGCAACCGAAUAUGGCGGAAACGCUAUAGCUAGCAAUAGCGGUUGUGAAGGUGCUGCAUGGUUGUCGUCAGCUCGUGCCGUGAGGUGUCGGCUUAAGUGCCAUAACGAGCGCAACCCUUGCCGAUAGUUACUAACAGGUCAUGCUGAGGACUCUGUCGGGACUGCCAUCGUAAGAUGUGAGGAAGGUGGGGAUGACGUCAAAUCAGCACGGCCCUUACGUCCGGGGCUACACACGUGUUACAAUGGGGGGUACAGAGGGCUGCUACCACGCAAGUGGAUGCCAAUCCCAAAAACCUCUCUCAGUUCGGAUUGAAGUCUGCAACCCGACUUCAUGAAGCUGGAUUCGCUAGUAAUCGCGCAUCAGCCACGGCGCGGUGAAUACGUUCCCGGGCCUUGUACACACCGCCCGUCAAGCCAUGGGAGCCGGGGGUACCUGAAGUGCGAAGCCGCAAGGAGCGCCCUAGGGUAAAACU